CGAAUGCUGACAUAAGUAACGAUAAAGCGGGUGAAAAGCCCGCUCGCCGGAAGACCAAGGGUUCCUGUCCAACGUUAAUCGGGGCAGGGUGAGUCGACCCCUAAGGCGAGGCCGAAAGGCGUAGUCGAUGGGAAACAGGUUAAUAUUCCUGUACUUGGUGUUACUGCGAAGGGGGGACGGAGAAGGCUAUGUUGGCCGGGCGACGGUUGUCCCGGUUUAAGCGUGUAGGCUGGUUUUCCAGGCAAAUCCGGAAAAUCAAGGCUGAGGCGUGAUGACGAGGCACUACGGUGCUGAAGCAACAAAUGCCCUGCUUCCAGGAAAAGCCUCUAAGCAUCAGGUAACAUCAAAUCGUACCCCAAACCGACACAGGUGGUCAGGUAGAGAAUACCAAGGCGCUUGAGAGAACUCGGGUGAAGGAACUAGGCAAAAUGGUGCCGUAACUUCGGGAGAAGGCACGCUGAUAUGUAGGUGAGGUCCCUCGCGGAUGGAGCUGAAAUCAGUCGAAGAUACCAGCUGGCUGCAACUGUUUAUUAAAAACACAGCACUGUGCAAACACGAAAGUGGACGUAUACGGUGUGACGCCUGCCCGGUGCCGGAAGGUUAAUUGAUGGGGUCAGCGCAAGCGAAGCUCUUGAUCGAAGCCCCGGUAAACGGCGGCCGUAACUAUAACGGUCCUAAGGUAGCGAAAUUCCUUGUCGGGUAAGUUCCGACCUGCACGAAUGGCGUAAUGAUGGCCAGGCUGUCUCCACCCGAGACUCAGUGAAAUUGAACUCGCUGUGAAGAUGCAGUGUACCCGCGGCAAGACGGAAAGACCCCGUGAACCUUUACUAUAGCUUGACACUGAACAUUGAGCCUUGAUGUGUAGGAUAGGUGGGAGGCUUUGAAGUGUGGACGCCAGUCUGCAUGGAGCCGACCUUGAAAUACCACCCUUUAAUGUUUGAUGUUCUAACGUGGACCCGUGAUCCGGGUUGCGGACAGUGUCUGGUGGGUAGUUUGACUGGGGCGGUCUCCUCCUAAAGAGUAACGGAGGAGCACGAAGGUUGGCUAAUCCUGGUCGGACAUCAGGAGGUUAGUGCAAUGGCAUAAGCCAGCUUGACUGCGAGCGUGACGGCGCGAGCAGGUGCGAAAGCAGGUCAUAGUGAUCCGGUGGUUCUGAAUGGAAGGGCCAUCGCUCAACGGAUAAAAGGUACUCCGGGGAUAACAGGCUGAUACCGCCCAAGAGUUCAUAUCGACGGCGGUGUUUGGCACCUCGAUGUCGGCUCAUCACAUCCUGGGGCUGAAGUAGGUCCCAAGGGUAUGGCUGUUCGCCAUUUAAAGUGGUACGCGAGCUGGGUUUAGAACGUCGUGAGACAGUUCGGUCCCUAUCUGCCGUGGGCGCUGGAGAACUGAGGGGGGCUGCUCCUAGUACGAGAGGACCGGAGUGGACGCAUCACUGGUGUUCGGGUUGUCAUGCCAAUGGCACUGCCCGGUAGCUAAAUGCGGAAGAGAUAAGUGCUGAAAGCAUCUAAGCACGAAACUUGCC
rnacentral:rRNA from 1 species